GACCCAGUAUGGUGGAGUGGUUUGAGUAUUGGACUAUUACUCUAGAGGACAGGGUUUGAAUCCCUGCUUGGCCA